rnacentral:lncRNA from 10 species
UAUCAACAUUUUACAGUAGAAAAGUAGAAACGCAGACUGGGAAUUCAAAUUAGUAUUUUGACCACAGAGUCACUUUCUACAACAAUACACAGUCCCAUUGAUCUCAUAAGCACUGGGCAUACUUUCUUCCUUAACAGAAAACAUUUUCUUAACCUUAUUUCGGUUAUAAUGGAAGUAGGCAUAACAGUAGAUACUUGUUGGGAAACUAUAAUUGCUUUUGAAAACAUAUUCAUAAAUCAGCACUUCCAUACAAGAAAAGUGGCACAUGUGCAGAAUGAUUAAUCUGUAAUACAUUUUACAAAUAUUUAGAAAUCCUCUACUUCAGUACCAGGCACUGCCCCAGACAACUGGUAUACCACCAUGUGCAAACAAACUAUGGUCUCUGUCUUACUCCACCUGGCAUGAACAAGUGGAAACACUGCAAGGUACAGGCCAGAAAAAGAUGGUGUGACAGGAGUGUUAAGUAAGAAUAUCGGCAUUGAACUCAGUCUGGAUCUGGAGGUCAGGGUCAGAAAGGUUAAAGUUUGUUGAAUCUAUGUGUGUUUAAAACUUUUAGACAACUUUGUACUCAUUGUUUAACUAGUAUUAGAUAGGUUCUUAGACGAUUUAAGUCAGUUUUCUAAAAGGAGUAAUAUAAUUUAAAAAAUGUUACAUCCAGUUCAAGGACUCAACAUUCUGACUAGGCAUUUGAGUAAAUAAUUUAUUUUCUCUAAAUCAUGGGUUCUUCAUCUGUUUUAUGAGUCUACUAAUACACACCUAUACUGCUUCAUAGCACAGUUGAAAGGCUGUAAUGGGAGAAUGGAUGUAAAAGAAGUUAGUAAAUCAUAAUAUUUACAUAUCAUUGUAAUUCACUAUAAGAAUUAUCAAUUACCUUUUGCUCGAUUGAAUAUAGUUAUGAAUGAAGAACAGUCUAGUCAUGCUAGUCAUUACAUGGUGUAUAACAAAUACAUGGUGUUGUAGGAGAAACCAGUAUGAGAGAUGACAUUCCAGAGCAGAUAUUCAAUGGAUGAAUUAGUAUUUUUGGCUUCAAAUGUAGAAUACACAAAUGGCAAGAAGCUGGGAACUACUGGAAAUAUUUAUGAGAACUAACUUGUUUGGUAUGUACUAUGUACCCUGGGCCUUUCUUUUCUUCAUGUAACAAAAGGGACAUUCCAUUUUCCCUGACAGUAGUUUUGGCAGCUUCAUUGACAGCACUGUCAUCAUUAGAUAAUUAGAAUUGUAAGCCUUUACUUUUCUCCAUUUUCUAUACAGGAUUUACUAUACUUCCAGGCUCGUCUUCUUUCGAUGUAUGGAAGGUGAAUCACGUGAAAAGCAUACUAUGAAUUGUUAAUGUAAAUAGUUUAGAAGUAGUAAUCAUAGAAUAGAAUGUAACAUUUGCCAAAUGCUUAUUCUAUGCCAUGCCCUUGAUUGUCUUAUUUGGGUUCCCCUAGAAGCAGGCGCUCAAACAAGGAUUUGAGUACAAGUCGUUUAAUAAAGAGAUGAUUCCAAGAAAUGUAAGUAUUGGAAUAGGAAAAUAAGACAAUAGGUAAAAAGGCUACGGAAGGUAGAUUGUCAGACAAUUACUACAGUGGGCCUGCUUUCCCUGAGGGAACCUGAAACAAAGUAUAAGAUAUGACCCUUACAGGCAUCCUGCCUAACGAAGAGGACACUGGGGCAUUUAACUGCCAGUGCCCAGCAGUCGUAGUUGAGUCCUGCUGAUGAAACAGAAAACCUGCAACCUGCCCUGUUUGCAGGCAGAACAGACAGUUAAAUAUAUCAGCCAAGGAACAGCAGGGGCUGGUAGCUGAAGUUUGGACAGUCGAGCCCGUAAAUGAUUUAUUCCACUCUGUUAAGCUUCCUGAAUCACAGAGAAGUUGUCAGAAAGAUUUUAGCCUCCGCUAUAGGAAGUCCUGCCCACCUUCUCCAGAUCUCUGUUCUCAUAGUCCAUCCUCUGGUUCCAGGUGGAAGAAUUCUAAAAUCACACAAGAAAAUGUAAGAUAUCUUCCUCGAAUAUCAACAGAGAAGAACAGCAGCCACGUGGAUAAGGCAGAGUUUGGGAAAUCCUGGAUUCCCUUAUCAUAAAGCAUCUUACAGUAACCUCAGAAAUGCAGAAGUUACUUGUAAUGGUGCUGUAGACACUGUACGAGAAAGUUUCACCUUUAUGAUCUAAUUUAAUUCUCACAAAAACCCUGUUAGGUAGGGUGUUAUUAUUUAAAUUUAAAUCAGAGGAAAAUGUAACAGGAAUUCUGCAACUUACAGUCAAAGAGAUAAUAAACAGGAGCAUCUGUGGUUUGAAAUUUGGUUUGACUGAAUUAAAACCCACAUUUGAGGCCUUAUUCCUUGCACCUGGGGUGUGACUUCAUAGUGAUGUAAAUCAGUUUUAGCAAAAGAAGCAAAAGGUUGAAAGUCCUUUGUUUAGUCUGGAAGUGGCUAAAGACAUAUGAAGAUCAAAAUCGGCAAAAAAAUAAUCCAUAUGAGACUCUUGUGUGUAAAAGAUUAAAUGGAGUCUGUGUCAUUCCGGGAAAAAGAUCUAGGGCCCAAUUGAUAUAAAUUGAGGAGAAGCUCAUUCCCCACUUUUAUUGUUUCCAUGAUCCUCUUAAUCCAGGAGAGAAAUGUAGAAAAAAACACUACCAUCCUAUCUCUCCACUUAUUUUCUCAUUGGUGAGGGAGAGAGGAAGAUUCAUCAGUCUGAUGAGAUGAUGGGUCUCAAAAAUAAACCAAGAGUGUGCAGCAGCAUUUCCUUCUAGGUCCCCUGUUUGAGUCAGAUUUCUCCAGAGAAGCAGAAGCAAUAGCAGGUGUAUAUACAGAAAGAGAGUUAUUUUAAGAAACUGGAUCAUGCGACUGCGGAGGCUCAGGAAGUCCAAAAUCUAGUAGGGGAGGUCCGUAGGCUAGAUACUUCAGAAUGAGUUACAGUUUGAAUCCAAACGCAGUCUGGUGGUGAACCAGGAAGACACGAUGUUGAGGAUGAAGUCUGAAGGUUGUCUGCUGGCAAAGUCUCUUCUUGCUUAGGGGAGGUCAGUCUUUUCCUUCUAAUAAGGCCUUCAACUAAUUGAAUGAGGCCCACCAAAACUAUAAAAGAUACUUGGCUUUGCUUUAAGUCCAGCAAUUUCAUUUAAAUCUCAUCCAAGAAUACCCCUCUCAGAAACAUCCAGAAUAAUGUUUGACCAAAUAUCUUGCACUGUGGCCCAGCCAAGUUGAUACAUACAAUUAACCAUCACACUCCUUUCUCCUCUCUUUUUAAGUCUGGCUCUCAGACAUGUAGGAAUUUUACUUUUCUAGCACUCUCAAGGACUGGGUAGGGGAAAGAUAAAUUCACAAGUAGAAGGCAUAUUGGAAGACUGUUGACAGCAGAGGUAAGACUGUAUUCCCUUCAGCUUUAUUAAUCACAAAGAUAACAUUUUGACUCCUUUACUGAAUUUCCACAAAUGGGUCCUCAUUUGAGUAGGAGAUGAUGGCACAUUACAUAAGGGAUCAUGGGCUUAGAAUCUUAAGAAUUAGGGACUAAAAUUAUGCAUAGAAAAUUUGGAUGUGUUGAGGGGGCUUUUGCCUCAGUCAGGAUGAGAUGCCUUAGGAUUUAAGUUUCAGUGAAUUCAGAUCUCCAAAGGCUUUUUGAAUAGGGUAGAUCACAGCUACCCAAAUUGCUAUUGGUUAUGAACAUGGAGCUAUUUUUAAAAGGUGAGGCCCUAAGUGAUUCCCUCCUUGGCUUUUUGUAAGCACCUCCCAGGGGCCUUAGCAUGUAGGCCAGUGUAACUUACCUUGGCUUGAAUUACAUAGUAAGGCCAAAUCAGAGAGUAGGUAACAGGGAAAUGAUUUGAACCCAACUAAGAUUUCUCAAGAAAGAGAUGUUUUAGGCAUUAGUAGAUGAGAUCGUUUGUGCUCUCUUUAUAAGUUUUGUCCUCCACUCCGCCCAAAGAUCCCCAGGAAGCAAUUUAACACUGCAAAUACAUAAGUGCAGCUAGGUUCAGCUUAAGUUGUAGAGCAUGGGAUCUAGCUUUUGUUUUCAGAGAGAGUUGGGACACGUGCCUGGAAAAUGGUAUUAGAUUUCAAAAACACAAAUUCAUGACAACAAAGUAGUGGUUUUAACCAAUUAAUAAAUAAAAAGGAAUAAGCUCAUUACUAUAUAAGAACUAUGCCAUAUUCUUGGAUUGAGGUAGAGAGUAACUCAGUGAAACAAUGGUGAACUCAAAAAAUUAAGAAAAAAAAACACAAAAAGGUUUAUGCUUAUAACCCACUUCAUCUCUAAGAAAUGAGUCUGCUCCAGAAAUGAACUGGUUUAAAAUUAUGCUUCUGUCUUUCUAUUAUAAUAGGGGCAGUAGAGAAUGACAGACAUGCUAAAGAAGGCAAUAUGUUUGUGUGGAAAGGAAGGUGCUCUUUCAUUAAGAUAAUUGAGUCUGGAUCACUGAGGCCAUGCUGGAGAAAUAGGAUAAAAGAAGGGAGACAGAUGCCUGCAGGCCAAAUGUUCUUGUUGAAGGUAGUUUAGAAAAGAGGCAGGUACCUGAGUUGAUACUAUAUCAGAGAGGAUGAUACCUCUGCUCUCAAUCAUACAUAAAAAGGCAGCUUUAUUUCAGUGAGCAGAGUGCAAAGACAUCCCCAGAGGAAAACCAGAUACAGGGCCUAACUCGGGCUUUUAAAAGUGUGUCAUAACACAAGUGAAAACUUCUAGAAAAGAUCAGAACAGCUGUAUACAGUGGUGAUGAGCAACUCGCACUGAUUUGAGAAGGAAACAUCAAGAAGAAAAACAAUAGCUGCUCAAAGCCAUCUAGAGUGUUAGAAAAUCACAGUUGUAGUUAGGGACACAGCCAUUGCCUUGAGUGAGUAUAAUAGGGUUUGAGAGUCUAAGAAAAGCACAGGAAACAAAUGCCACUCCUAAGGGAACCUAGAUUGACAGAGAUAAAUAAAGAACAGGCCUGGUUUAGAUGUUAAUCUGAAAGGAGGGUACUACCAGUGUAGAGCUAUGCUCCUUAGGAAGCUGAGAGAAGACAGGAUUGUCUGGAUGGAAUUGUUCUGGAUGCUUUUUCUAAGAUCCACAAAUCAUUGUAUCUCUCAUUAUGACAAAAAUCUACAGAAGAUGCUAUAGGAACAACUACCUGUGCCUCAAAAGACA